ACGACGGGUAGCCGGCCUGAGAGGGCGACCGGCCACACUGGGACUGAGACACGGCCCAGACUCCUACGGGAGGCAGCAGUGGGGAAUAUUGGGCAAUGGAGGAAACUCUGACCCAGCGACGCCGCGUGCGGGAUGAAGGCCUUCGGGUUGUAAACCGCUUUCAGUAGGGAAGAAGCGAAAGUGACGGUACCUACAAAAGAAGCACCGGCUAACUAUGUGCCAGCAGCCGCGGUAAUACAUAGGGUGCAAGCGUUGUCCGGAAUUAUUGGGCGUAAAGAGCUCGUAGGUCGUUUGUUACGUCGGAUGUGAAAACCUGAGGCUCAACCUCAGGCCUGCAUUCGAUACGGGCAAACUAGAGUUUGGUAGGGGAGACUGGAAUUCCUGGUGUAGCGGUGGAAUGCGCAGAUAUCAGGAGGAACACCAAUGGCGAAGGCAGGUCUCUGGGCCAAUACUGACACUGAGGAGCGAAAGUCUGGGGAGCGAACAGGAUUAGAUACCCUGGUAGUCCAGACCGUAAACGGUGGGCACUAGUUGUGGGAACCUUCCACGGUUUCUGCGACGCAGCUAACGCAUUAAGUGCCCCGCCUGGGGAGUACGAUCGCAAGAUUAAAACUCAAAGGAAUUGACGGGGCCCCGCACAAGCAGCGGAGCAUGCGGCUUAAUUCGACGCAACGCGAAGAACCUUACCAAGGCUUGACAUAUAGGGAAAAGUGGCAGAGAUGUCAUGUCCGCAAGGGCUCUAUACAGGUGGUGCAUGGUUGUCGUCAGCUCGUGUCGUGAGAUGUUGGGUUAAGUCCCGCAACGAGCGCAACCCUCGUUCUGUGUUGCCAGCAUUUAGUUGGGGACUCACAGGAGACUGCCGGGGUUAACUCGGAGGAAGGUGGGGAUGACGUCAAAUCAUCAUGCCCCUUAUGUCUUGGGCUGCACGCAUGCUACAAUGGCUGGUACAAACGGCUGCGAUACCGCAAGGUGGAGCGAAUCCGAUAAAGCCAGUCUCAGUUCGGAUUGGGGUCUGCAACUCGACCCCAUGAAGUCGGAGUUGCUAGUAAUCGUAGAUCAGCAACGCUACGGUGAAUACGUUCCCGGGGCUUGUACACACCGCCCGUCACGUCACGAAAGUCGGUAACACCC
rnacentral:rRNA from 2 species